rnacentral:rRNA from 1 species
CGGRGGGAUCAUUACAAGUAGAGUUUACGAACUCUUAAACCCUUUGUGAACCUUACCUAUCGUCAGUUGCUUCGGCGGGAGGCCCCUGGGAGGGGCCCCGGGGCCCGGCCUGAGCCGGGCUCCCGCCGGAGGAGCGCAAACCAAACUCUUGCUGUACCUCAGUGGAACAUCCGAGUUAAAAAUAAAAAAAAAAACAAGUUAAAACUUUCAACAACGGAUCUCUUGGUUCUGGCAUCGAUGAAGAACGCAGCGAAAUGCGAUAAGUAAUGUGAAUUGCAGAAUUCAGUGAAUCAUCGAAUCUUUGAACGCACAUUGCGCCCGCCAGUAUUCUGGCGGGCAUGCCUGUUCGAGCGUCAUUUCAACCACUCAGGCCCUGGUGCCUGGCGUCGGGGUUUCUUGCUUCGGUAAAAUCCCCUAGAAUCAGUGGCGGACCCGCCGCGGCUCCGAGCGUAGUAGUAAAAUAUCUCGCUAUGGAGGCCCGUGGAGGGAUUACCGGCCGUAAAACCUCUUCUUUACGGAAGAACUUCUCAAGGUUGACCUCGGAUCAGG